rnacentral:rRNA from 1 species
GACAGAGGUGCCGAGCGUUAGGCGGAAUCACUGGGCUUAAAGCGUGUGUAGGCGGAUCUGUAAGUACCUUGUGAAAUCCCACGGCUCAACCGUGGAACUGCUUGGUAUACUGCGGGUCUUGAGCCACCUAGGGGCAAGUGGAACAAACGGUGGAGCGGUGAAAUGCGUAGAUAUCGUUUGGAACGCCAACGGAGAAAUCAGCUCGCUGGGGGUGUGCUGACGCUGAGACACGAAAGCCAGGGGAGCGAACGGG